rnacentral:rRNA from 1 species
CCUACGGGUGGCAGCAGUGAGGAAUAUUGGUCAAUGGCCGAAAGUCUGAACCAGCCAAGUCGCGUGAAGGACGACUGCCCUAUGGGUUGUAAACUUCUUUUAUAUGGGAAUAAAAUGUUCCACGUGUGGCAUUUUGUAUGUACCAUAUGAAUAAGGAUCGGCUAACUCCGUGCCAGCAGCCGCGGUAAUACGGAGGAUGCGAGCGUUAUCCGGAUUUAUUGGGUUUAAAGGGUGCGUAGGUGGGUUGUUAAGUCAGUUGUUAAAGUUUGGGGCUCAACCGUAAAAUUGCAGUUGAAACUGGCAGUCUUGAGUUCAGUAGAGGUAGGCGGAAUACGUGGUGUAGCGGUGAAAUGCUUAGAUAUCACGAAGAACUCCGAUAGCGAAGGCAGCUUACUGGACUGCAACUGACGCUGAGGCACGAGAGUGUGGGUAUCGAACAGGAUUAGAUACCCGUGUAGUC